AGUGAACGCUGGCGGCAGGCCUAACACAUGCAAGUCGAACGGCAGCACAAGAGAGCUUGCUCUCUGGGUGGCGAGUGGCGGACGGGUGAGGAAUGCAUCGGAAUCUGCCCAUUUGUGGGGGAUAACCUCGGGAAACCGGGACUAAUACCGCAUACGACCUACGGGUGAAAGCAGGGGAUCUUCGGACCUUGCGCAGAUGGAUGAGCCGAUGCCGGAUUAGCUAGUUGGAGGGGUAAAGGCCCACCAAGGCGACGAUCCGUAGCUGGUCUGAGAGGAUGAUCAGCCACACGGGGACUGAGACACGGCCCAGACUCCUACGGGAGGCAGCAGUGGGGAAUAUUGGACAAUGGGCGCAAGCCUGAUCCAGCCAUGCCGCGUGUGUGAAGAAGGCCUUCGGGUUGUAAAGCACUUUUGUUGGGAAAGAAAAGCAGCCGGUUAAUACCCGGUUGUCAUGACGGUACCCAAAGAAUAAGCACCGGCUAACUUCGUG
rnacentral:rRNA from 1 species